AGCGAACGCUGGCGGCAUGCUUAACACAUGCAAGUCGCACGGACGGGGGCAACUCCGUUAGUGGCGGACGGGUGAGUAACGCGUAGGUAUCUAUCCUUGGGUGGGGGACAACCACGGGAAACUGUGGCUAAUACCGCAUGACGACUGAGGUCCAAAGGCGCAAGUCGCCUGGGGAGGAGCCUGCGUCCGAUUAGCUUGUUGGUGGGGUAAUGGCCUACCAAGGCUCCGAUCGGUAGCUGGUCUGAGAGGAUGAUCAGCCACACUGGGACU
rnacentral:rRNA from 1 species